UAUUAUACAUGCAAAUAUGAAUAUCCAAGGUAUUAUCCUAACUAGCAUACCAAAAUAUUGAUACAUAGUAAUGUAACAAGUUAGAAUACAUACCUCUUUGUUGUAAUCUUGUCUUCAUGAAGCUUGAGUGCCUAGUGCCCCAAGUGUGACACCUCAAAUGGUUCACACAAAACCAUAAACACUUGGAAUAACCUUGAGAAUAAGGAUACUUUGGUUCUCUCUAGUGAAAUCGGCCUUUCCCUUUUUUGUACACACUCUAGUGCAAAUUUCACCAACCAAGGACAUCUUUAUAUAAUGUGGUGAUUAGGGUUAAACCCAUGGCCCUUCAUUUCAUAUGAUCCAUGGGUUAAACACUCCAUGGACUAUCCAUGAAAGCUUAGCCCAACCUAAAUGAACUUGGCCCAUCACACAUAUAUAUCUAAGAGUCCAUAUUUAAUUAGUUCCUUUUUGAUCACUUAAUUAAUUAUAAAUAAAUUCUUGAUCAAUACUAAUUAAAUAAUAUGAUUAUAUAUUAAUAUAUUAGAACUUAUAAUAUAUUAGUAUAAAUCACUAGUAUCCUUUUUCCUCAUCUUGUCUAUCCAGUUGUCCUGAUGCCAUGCAACCCAAAUGGACCAUGUCGGGUCGGGUCAAGUCUUACCAAUUAUAGUUAUGGACUUAGACAUUGAUCCAAAAUUCUCCCACUUGGAUAAGUCUAAAACUAUUAUUGAUUAUGACUUCAAACCGCGACUAGAAAUCAUAGCUCUCAAAAGCUUCUUUCGAUCUCUGACCUUGCCGAUGAACUCUGACCUUUGUCAAUGACUUGUCCAUUAGAUAAGGGAUCAUAUAUUCCUCUAUUCUAGAUAUCAUAUGGACUGAGACAUGGAUUAUAAUCAUUCUCUCUAUCCAUUUGUUGUUUCCCGAUUUCCGAUUUAUGAUGACUGACUAAUUGAACAAAUCAAAUCAGUCCUGGCCCGGCCGAGCACUUCCAUUUGUCAUCAUCAAAUCAUCGAGGGGCCCACAGAUAUCGCUUUUAUCCCGAAGGUAAAAGGAAUGGAUAAACUUCGACUCAUAUGGCUUGUUCUACUACUUGUUGAAUCAUACACAAAGGCACGUUUUAUAGCACCGAGUUACCAAAUGCGUUUUCGUGCAAUCAAUGUACAACCAACUCAUAGUAACAACUCAUAUCUCUAGGUUUGAAUAAUAUAAGAUAUUAUCGUCUCAUGAUCACUCGUGAUAAAAUCCAUGAAGUGAUUCAAAUAAGCGCGGGUUGAAUCCAAUACUCAUAACUUAUGGGCACUCAUGAGUGUUGUAGCACAACUUUGUCCACCAACUUGGACCUCUACAAGCAAACCCAUGACAGUCUUGAUUCAUAUCUACUGCCAACAUUUGACCGACUGUGGAUGGUUUGAAUAACUUAGUCAUUCGGAAGAAUAAUAGAGUUUAUUCUGGAAGUCAAAACAUGCAAAAUGAAACACAAGAAUAACUGAAUCUAAUAUGGUAUUAAAACCUAUGAAUAUAAAUAAAACACCUUUUAUUUAUCACCAUACUGAUUACUCAUUAUUCAUUGUUUCGGUUUUAUCAACAUUAUACUUGAAUUAAAAACACUAGUUGUCCCAUGCUCCAAGCAUGUACACUAUGUUUUUUCUAAACAAUAGCUUUGCCAUACACCAAGUAUGCACUCUAUGUUCGUCUAUGAUGCUUACUUUUUUCAAUAAACCAAUUGACCAAACUUUCAAUGAUUCUAAUUUCACACUCCCGAAUUCUUAUGGAAAAUGUAGGAAUUGCAAAUUCAUCCCAUUUUACCGAAAUCUAUUAGAUUCUAAACUUAUAUGCAAUGAUUCUCUUGUAAUGAUUAUGAACAAAGUCACAAAGACUUGACAACAAAUAUUACAGAGCAUUCCAAAGGAGAUCAACUCCUUGGAAACAUCCUUCUUGCAUUAAGUUUCCUAAUCUUACACAGAUUUAUUGAACAACUUCCGCCAAUGGGGCCAUUUCCACAUUCCCCUUUUGACUAUCACUUCCGAACAAGAGUUGCCUCUUUUCAGAAUAUGUCAAUAUGGUCCUUCCAACAAUUAACACUAUACUUCCAACUGUCCUUGAGCAACCAAUCUUUGGUAAACCUUAGAUUGUCCUCGACAAUUGCUUAAUCGUUUGUCAUAUCCAGUUCUAGACCUUUUCCCUUCUUAAUGCCCCAGGCAUUUGGAAAAUUUUAGAAAGGAUGAAUAUAUCAAAUGUAAUCGAUCCUAUAUCCGAAGCAUAUCGGACACGAUUCAUGAUGACUCACAUAAAGACUAAACCAGUCUUUUGCUAUAAUAUUUCCAUUUCAAUUUGCCAAGUUCUCAUAAUUCAGAUUAUGAAAAGGGAUGUCGUAAUCAUAAUCGAAUUUUAGAAUGCAAAUAAUGAACCCUUAUGAAAUUCAUAUAUAUUCUUGACAAAAUUUGAUUAAAAUCUCAAUCUAAGUUUUUAGAAUUGAAAUCAAGUAUAAUUUCCUCUCCCUUAAUUAUAGCAAAACAACUUUUUCAACCCCUGCAGCCUCAAGAAUUGAAACUUUUGUUUUCUAUAAUUAACAUUGCUAACUUGCAAUACUAAUCAUAAUUAUCAUGCUCCCACUAACAUGAUGAUUAUUAGCAUAACACUUAUGCUCCCACUAGCUUCGACAUGUACUUAGAAACCAGCUGGGCUUCUAGAAAUCAAUACUUUAUUGACUUUCUUACCAAAGUUCAGAUUUUUGAUACUAGAUUGAUUUGAUAAGGCUUGAUCAAAAUUAUACACCUUAUCUUAGAUAGCUCACAGGUGUGUCUAAACAUUUUCAGAACUAUGAAAAGGGAUGUCGUAAUCAUAGUCUCAAUUGUUUAGACCUUUUGCCAUUUCUCAUAAGUCAAUGUUAGUGUGCCGGUUAACCACACAAGCUCCACUAACGAGUUUGAGAAUGAAAAUAACACAAUUGCUGUCUAGUUAAAAUCUACUUAGUGAAAGUGUUUCCUCACCAUCAUUUUCAUGAAUCGGAGAGAAACCUUAUGACACUUAGAUUUAAUGGUGUAUGUGUUCUUAUCCAUGUGAAUUGUCAAAACCAUAGUCACAAGACAAGGAUAAUGACAAAUCCAAACUCAUAUGGACUGAACUCAAUCUUAAUUUAUUGCCAUCUGGCAGCUCAAGGGCCUUCCAUUGAUUCCAUGUUGUUAUGAAACCAAUUGAGAACUCUAUGAACUCAUAUGCAAACCCAACUUUAACUGGAAUGGACACAGAAUAUGUCAACACGAUAGGUUAUAAACCUCAAUUCGUGUGCUAGUGUAGAACUUCAGGUUUUAUUCUUCAUUAGUUCUUGAUACUUUCAAGACCUUUAAGACUCCCAGUGUCCUCUUGACAUAUAAGACUCCCUUGUCAAACAUCCAAGAGAUAGUGUAGAUUCUUUAUCAAGACAAGCACAUAAUUGGCCUAUGUUGGUCUUUGUUUUAUCCAAAACAUCACAACUUACCAAUUUCAAAUGUACAAGAGUAGAAAACUUUUACUCUUACAUUUGACAAGUGUUUUAAACCUUCUUUAAGACAUGUCACUCAAAUGACAAUCUUGGAGUAUGACUCUAAGACUUGUAUUGGAACGAAGUAUGACUCAUCUUCUUGAUUUAACCAUUUCAACAAUUCAAGUUCCUCUUCUUAGUCAUAAGAAUGCACUAAGAUUUCCUUAGAGAACUAAUUUUGAUAUGGUUUCUUAAUCAUUAAGAUGAUCACAAAACUGAUACUAAAGUACUCUCCCAUCUUUUCAGAUUUGAGAAACUUUUAUCCUUCUGCCUAAUUUGAUUCUUCUUAUUCGCUCUGCCAUACAUUGGAACCUUUUCCAAUGUCUCAGAGUUACACUUAAGCUUGUAAGUAUAAUCAUAUUUACUGAGNAACAAGGAACUAGUCUUAAUUUUCCAAAGAUGAAAAAUUCUCAUUCAUCAUGCUAUACAACUUGCAUGAUUCCAACUUUCGGUCCAAUUGAAACUUGGGUGAUGAGGAUCUUUCCUUAUUUGGUAAAUUUAGACAUUACCACAAAUGAAAGAAUCAAUUUCAUAUUUCCACUCUUGCUAUUAAUGGAAUCAUAUAAGCAACAAUUUUUUCCUCAAAUACCAUUGUAAGGAUAUUUUAAAAUAAAUAAAAUCAUCAUUUUUCCUUUUAUUUUAAAACUUUACGGAAAAACUAUCCUUACAAUGCAAAAGAGCAUUAAAGCUUUGUUGUUAUCUAUUCCUAAGCAAUAUAUCAUAACUCCUAAGAAGUAGCUCAAGAAUUCGAUCCUCAAACUAUGCGAUAGAAAUCCAUCUACGCGAUCAAAUUCAACAUACUCUUUCUUUAAGUUUCUUCACUUUUCUUUGAUUCGUACAAAAUCAACAUGUGACCCAGUCACAUCAUGUAACAUGAAUAUCAUAAUAGAAACUUAACAGAGUUAGAUGGUGGACUUUACCUGAAGUAGAUUCAAUCUUAUUGACUUGAUCAACCUUUUGAUCUUUCAGGUAAAUAUGGCAGCUUCACAACCAAUUCCCUUUCCUUUUGGCAAUAGAACUAUAUAGACCCUUUGGGAAUGGUACAUGAGACAAUCUCAGACUUAGCCUUUCUCUUUACCAUUUGGUCAACCGCGUUGACCAUGACCAAUCCCUUUCAAUUGGGAAGAGAAAGCUUUUACUAGAUAUCCAAUGCAACCAUUGUCAAUGUCCAUUGAAGGUUUGGGAAGUUGAUCUACUAAUCAAAUUUGCUUUACCAAAGCUCCAAAUCAUUGCUGAUUCAGCAGUGCCAAGAAAAUAGAUAAGAUCAUUAAGGGUCAUCUCAUAGUCUAUUUCAUAGUAGUCCCAAAGGUAACUCACUAUGUGACUUAGAAAGUGAAUGAACAUCCAACUUUCUUAAGACUUUGACACCCAACUCUCCCAGCUUGUCAAUAUGUGACUUCAUCUCCAAGAUAUGAGCACACAUAGACCUUGCCUGCCAUAAGGGCUUGAUUGACUUUGAACUUGUGGGUUAGGGAGAAUAAUUGGAGAAGGUGGAGGAAGUGAAGUUCCAAGAGAUUUGGGAAGAUCAUAGAUGUCUGAACUAGACAUCUUUUGGGAGAUAUUAUGGAUAGUUGAUUAAAAGUCCUUAAUAUAACACCCAAUAUGAGAUAUUAAGGAUAGGACCCUACAAACUAUUUUAUAACUCGGAAGAGGGACGCCGUAAUCCAAGCUAUAGAAUAUUUGAAGGUUGGUGAAUGACAAUUCACCAAUUUCCACCAUGAAAAAACCAAAUAAACUUAUUAGGUUUUUUAAUUGGAUUUGGAACUCCUAGAUCUUUUGAGAUUCAUUGAAUUGUUCAAUGGCAUGUUUCAAUCUCGAGUGUGCCCUUCCAGUUUUGUGACUGGCAUGCCGAGGAUCAUAAAACAAGGUGUGAAUAGCCAUGCAAAUAUACUUGGUACCCUUAAUUUUUUACCCCUCAAUCGAUGUGCCGGUUAACCACACACGCUCAAUCGAUAUUAUGAUAAACAUUAAGUUACCCUUUUGCUACCUUCUUAAAUACGAGUUAGUGUGCCGAUUAACCAUACAGCUCCACUAACCGACUUAAACAAAGUGCAAAGUGUAAUUUCAUAGACUAGCAUCAAAUUCACAUUUUCCUAAGUAACUAAGAUUGGGUAUUACUAAGAGUUUAGUUACUUAGUAUUUAUCAUUAAUACUUUUGAUGUAGGGAGAAUUAUAGACCUUGUCCUACCCGUUCGGCUAACGACCCUCCACCAGUCACGGAAGCGGUGGGUGAGAGUGGACACCCAUUAAGUUGCCAUUUUAUAGGCAACAACCUUAUACCCACCUUAUAGACCGGCUUCGUGAAUGAGGCGUACUAGCGGUAAGACUGACUUUACUCUUAUACAUAUAUAUAUUAUUAACUUAUAAUAUUAUAAAGUAUAAGGGUUGAAUUUUAACUUUUAAAAUUCUAAGGGCUAACUUGGAAUUAAAGUAUUCAUAAGUGAAAACUUUUCAAAUUCCAAAACUUGAGGGCAAGUUUUGAAACUAUUCAAAACUAAUUAAUUCCAUAACUUAUGUGUUUAAAGUAGUUUUAAUUAAAAAACUCCUCAAGUUCCAUAACUUGAGGACAAGUUAUGGAAGACUUUAAACUAAUAAAAGAAUGUAACUUUUCUUUAUUUUGUAACUUAUGGAAUUAAUUAAGGUUACACAUUUUAUUACUUAAUGAAGUGACUCUUGAACCUCCAUAACUUGAGGACAAGACACUUCAUUUUUUAUAACCAUUGUCAACUUUUAUGAGUUUUAUGAAACUUAAAUGUGACCUUUCAUGUAACUUGAGGAGAAGUUACACAAACAUAUUUUAGAAUCUAUUCUUAGAUUAAAAUGGAUUAAAGAAACAUAAUCAAUCAACUUUUCAACUAAUCUAAGCAACUCAUAAGAUCAAGAUAAUUAAAAAAAAAAAAACUUUUGGAUUCCAUAACUUAUGGAGUUUAAUGUUUUUUUAAUGAUGAAACUUUUCAUGUUUCAUAACUUAAGAACAAGUUAUGAAAUUCUUUAAAACAUUAACACCAAUUUUUGUAACUCCAUAAAAAAAAACUUUGAAUCAAUUUUUUUUAAACCUUUUUCAUAUCCAUAAGUUAUGGAGGUUUUAAAAAAACACUCUUUAGAUCACACUUUUAAAACUAAUAAAAUAAUCAUAUCAUUUUAUCUUUUACUAAAUUUGACCUAAUUCAACUCAUAUAGCAAACGAUUCAAAUUUUACAAAUAAUUAGUUUUUCACAAAAAACAAGUAAUUAUCUUAAAAUUUGACAAACGUCAUGUUUUUUUCUUUUUUUUUCAACUUUGAAAAUAGUACAUUUGCAUCAAUAUAACAUAAAACAACCCAUGGCUCUGAUACCACUAUUGGGUUUUGAGCAUUCUAAUGCUCCUAAGUGUACAUGCAACCCUAAAUACCUUGGAUCUAUGUUUUCUCUAUUAUACAUGCAAAUAUGAAUAUCCAAUGUAUUAUCCUAACUAGCAUACCAAAAUAUUGAUACAUAGUAAUGUAACAAGUUAGAAUACAUACCUCUUUGUUGUAAUCUUGUCUUCAUGAAGCUUGAGUGCCUAGUGCCCCAAGUGUGACACCUCAAAUGGUUCACACAACACCAUCAACACUUGGAAUAACCUUGAGAAUAAGGAUACUUUGGUUCUCUCUAGUGAAAU
rnacentral:lncRNA from 1 species